UACAGAGGGUGCGAACGUUGCUCGGAAUUACUGGGCGUAAAGCGCAUGUAGGCGGAUCCAUAAGUCGGGCGUGAAAUCCCCAGGCUCAACCUGGGAACUGCGCUCGAAACUGUGGGUCUCGAGUGUCGGAGAGGAUGGCGGAAUUCCUGGUGUAGAGGUGAAAUGCGUAGAGAUGUGGAGGAACACCAGUGGCGAAGGCGACUCUUUGGCCUGUAACUGACGCUGAGGCGCGAAAGCGUGGGGAGCAAACAGG
rnacentral:rRNA from 1 species